rnacentral:tRNA from 1 species
AGUAUUAUGUCUGAAUAAAAGUAGUAAACUGUAAAUUUACUUAUAAGAUAAAUUAUCUUUAAUACUA